AAGUGAGUUGGGCGACGGUCCACUAGAGUGCUGUUUCCGAACAGGAGCGUUAUGGAACAGUUCCAGCAGCCUCUGCACUUGUGUGUGUAGCAUAUUAGCGCCGUUAGCGAACACCUGCUAGUUCCUGUGCAGUUGGGAGUUGUUGUUGUCAGUAAUGGUGUUUCUCCGCUGAGCUCCCGGUGCCGCUGCUGAGCGCGGCGCUUCAUUAAAGUGGCAGCCGGUGGAGAGCAGCCGUUAGCCGGCUGUGUGAGGGGAUUUUAUCGCGCUUCGCCCCUGCCUGCGCUCCACACAGGGACUAUAGACCGUUUGCCCAUGAGCCUCUCUGAUUUAGCCGCGUCCGCCAUCUUUGCGCAAUAACACAUGCGGAGGGAGCAGCAAGGACCUUCAGACCAAAUGGCGCAGACUCGCGCAGGUCUCGGCUGCUGGAGCUGUUCUGCUCAGGCUGGAGGCGGAUUGUUGAGUUGAGCCGCUGCUCCAAUGCGAGAAAGAGCCCAAAUGGAAGCUCGAACCCGGAGGCGGCAGAGACAGACAGCGGCUUGCACAUCUCAACACAUGGAGCAGAAAAGAAAGCAGCUGCAAAUCUGCCCGAGUCUGUGCGGAUCAUUCCGGAAAGGCCGAGUUUAUAUUUCUGCCGUUUAUGUGAACCAGAGACAAAAUAUAUAAAGCUGUGAUCCGCAUGUAAGCGCUGCUCCGAUUUCUAUUGCAGCUCCAAAUGCGCAGGCGCAGUAAAGCGCAGGAGCUGAGCUCGGGGAAAUGGCGCUGAGAAGAGGCAGCGAUCAGGUCCACCAUCCUAUUUGCACAUCAUCCAUAUUCAAAAGGCUUUAUAAUAAGUAAAUGGCUUUGAAGAUGGUGACUCCUGUGAUCCUAAAGAUCAUAUUGACUGAUUGCAGCUCUCAGAGGUCGAUUGUCUCCCAUGGACUCCCUGAAUCCAUUGAUGACCUUAUUGUUGAAGUCAAGAAACAGUGUGAACUUCAGGGCAACUUUAGACUUCAAUUUAUGGAUUCCUUGUUUGGAAACAAGUUCCUUAACCUGACCUCAGUGUCAGAAGUGGAAGACAAAGGUACUCUUACUGAUAUGUCAAGGCCCACCACUAUGCAACAUGAGAGCUCUACUGUGCUUAGUCCAGUCUUACACCUCCAAGCAUUCAGUCCUUGCUCAGCAACUGACUCUUCAUCCCUGUCAGGUGAACUUGUGGAUACAGAUAUACUGUCAUCAAGCGAGUCUACAAGCUCACGGUCCUCCUGGCCAGCUGUUUCAUGUACCAAAGUUCUCCUAUGAUGCAGAGUUAAAACUUCAGCGAGCAGGUUUAGCUUACAUUCAAAAUGGCACUGUACUUAUUCCAGAUCCCAAGUUGAAGUCAGCCAUCCUUGAUGGUUCAGUGCAGGAACUUGUGCAGUAUAAAGUCUGUCAGUGAUGAGGAGAUGGAACAGGUAGCCCAAAGUCUCAUCAAGAAACAUCCAUGUUUAACUGAGAAGGGGUCCUGCACUGGAUGUGGUGGAUGGAAGAUCAGUUUAAAAUAUACAGUAAUGUAGGUACCUUCCACUGUCUCUUUAAGAACUACAUUUCCCAUCAGCCCACUUCCGCGUUGACCUGCGUCACGCCGGGGCGGGAUCACCAACGUUACUUCCUACAGGAAAGCAUAAGACCAACUGGAAACUCCUCCUCGUUCUCUUUGGCGCUGUGGACCUCGCGUCGUACAGGCAUAAAGAGACACCCUCUCAUCAGAACAAACCAGAUAAAGACGUCUUUUUCUUUCUUUCUUGUAAGAUCCACCAGUUAGCGCAAUUUCUUUGUUUACCACUGGCCACGGUAAAAAUCCAGAGUCGCGCGAUCUUUAAACUCAAACUGAGUUACAGCCGGUUUAUUCGUAUUAGAAGUGACGUCACGACUGCUGCCCAAACGCAGUUUUUUAAUUCAAAGUUAAAAGUUAAGAAGUGACUAAAUCCUUUUUAACUCGAAAGCGCUGUGCACAUUAUUUUGAUCAGAGACUUUCUUUUCAUCACGCCGGACCCAAGAAGUUCUCCGCGCUUUCUACACGAGCGGCUCACGUGCUCUACAACGGCGAAGCUCUACAACGGCGAACAUUUCUUCAUAUCUUGCUAAAGGCAAGAAUAUUAAGUAAGACUUUGGCAUUUGGGCAUAAUUAAGCUAGUCUUAGGAAUUUGCUUUAUUGAAAUAGUGUGAAUUUAAACCCAGGUUUAUCUGUUACACUGUUGAACACGUAGCGUGUUGAAUUGAUUUAUUUUGUUGUAAGGCCAAAAAAAAAAUGUGUGUUUCUGGUUACCCGCCCGACCCUAAACUUUUUUUUUUGUUUUUUUCCCAGUCGCGACUUUUACAUAUAACCCAACCGCGUGAACCGGAAGUUUUUGUCACUCACUGGGAAAAUCAGGGCUUUCCACAAGCGCCGGCUGCCGGCCAUACAGCCGACUACACAAUUAAGUCCAGCUGGCUACUUUAAUGACUAUUUUUGUAGCCCACAGGCUCUAAAUAUUAAUUUUCGAUUUUAAUAAAAUUAAAUGUUUAUCUAACGGACUGACAAUAAUGUCAAACUGAACCGCACUCAUUUAAGUUGUGAUUCGCGCUGUUUGUACUGAUAAUAACCACAAAUUCCCCGCCGACUUCGUUGAUCAGGGGAGAGUAACUCAUCCGCAGCCCCGACAUGCGGUGUGUGCGCGCACUCGGCGGAGGCAGUAGUGUGUCGGGGCCGUUGGAGGGAACAGAAGCAGAGAUGACGCUUAUUUUGUCUUUCACCUAGAGACAUGAUUCAAACUUUAAAACGGAGACAAAAUUCUCCUGUGUGGAUCUGGCAUUCAACUUUUUUGCUAGGCUCUAUACUUUUUGAUCAGUCACAGAUCAAACACCAUGAGCACAUCUGGAGAAAUUCAGACUUUAUAAUGGGUGUCUAUUGCGUUACACACCAGUGGAGUUUAGAGUGUAGGCAGCUUGAAAAAAAAAGCUCUAACUUUCUCAUUUAAACUGUUUUCUCAGCCACAAUUUUCUCAAAAGUUGUAGUCACACAUUGUGUGAAUCAAGACAAGUGUCUCCCUGAGUGAUAGGAUUUACAGUUUUUGAAUGAGAAGCCUGAAAGUAAGGAGAGGCCAGCCGCGCUCUCCCAUAGACUCGCAUUAUAAACCUGGCAGCGCUUUUACUGCAAAAUCAGAAAAGUCACUUGUUUUUAACUCGCUCUAGUGUCCACAUUUUUUACACUAGGGACAAAAAAAUUACAUUUAUGUGUUCAUGGGAGCCUUGUAGCACUCAAUGUGAAAGAAUUUUGUGAAUAGCUCCUUUCGUUUCCGUGUAAAUCAGCGUUGUUCGAGGAGAGGGAACUCUGAGAAAAAGCGCUCUUUGCUUGUUAUAUUGUGUCUUUUCCCUGCACCGUUACCAAGGCGACGAGCUCCACUCAGGGAGCAGAGAGGGGUGGGGCUGCUCUCUCUCUCUCUCUCUCUCUCUCUCUCUCUCUCUCUCAUGGUGUAUUGAGCUGUUAUAUUUACAGAAAAAUUCAUGUUAAAAGGUGUCUCAUGCUGCAUCAGAUUCAUCAGAAGGUGGUAACUCAGGUGACCUGCAAAGAAAUUCAUUAUAUUUUGUGAAAUUAUUCCUGUCUAAAUAUAGGUUAUGGCAGCCAUCUUGAAAAAAAAUUCAAAAAAAAAAAAGCCUGCCUACUGACCCUAGUUUUGAAAUCUACGUAACCGGAAACACUUUUUUUUUUUUUGGCCUAAUCUCUCCAUGGUUUAAUUGUUAGGCUGUGCAUGCUUUUUUCUCUUAUUCUUACUAACAUUUUGAUUUCAUUAUCAUAUCUUGAUCGCAUCAAGAUUUCAGUGGAUUCAGUAUUGUUAUGAGCUAGUGGGUUAGCUACCGGCUAGCCCUUUGUUACUUAGCAACACGUGCUCAGUAGGCCUCACCAGGCCUAACAAACACACUUUAACUAGGCCAUAGGGCCUUUCACAAGCACAUAUUAGCAACAGAGCUAAUCCUUUGUUCUAUUUAGAUAACAUUCCUUUGUCUUAGCUAGCCACACGGCUAAUUCCUUUGUUGUUAGCAAGCUAGGCUAACCUUUGCUUAGGCCUAAAGGCCUACACCAUGUGGUCACUCACAAGCCCACGUUAGCUAGCUCCCCUUUGUCUACUUAGCAACACAAAGCUAAUCUAGGCCUACCCAAACACAUACAAGGCCUUUCUCACACACACACACACACACACAC